AAGAAGAAAAAGAAGAAGACUGAAAUAAGAGAUGAUUACUUGGAUGAUUUUCUUCCCAGAAGAAACGACAGAAGGAUACCAGAUCGAGACAGAUCGGUGAAGCGGAGACAAACUUUCGAGUCUGGAAGGCAUGCUAAAGAGCAUGCACCACCAACAAAGCGCCGAAGAGGGGGAGAGGUUGGUUUGUCAAAUAUUUUAGAAGAAAUUGUUGAUACACUGAAGAACAAUGUGAACGUAUCAUACCUCUUCUUGAAGCCAGUGACCCGAAAGGAAGCUCCAGAUUAUCACAAGUAUGUAAAACGCCCUAUGGACCUAUCUACCAUCAAAGAGAAAGCCAGGAAACUGGAAUAUAAAAACCGUGGGCAAUUCAGGCAUGAUGUGGCACAGAUCACUAUCAAUGCACAUUUGUACAAUGAUGGGCGCAACCCAGGUAUUCCUCCCCUUGCGGAUCAGCUUCUAGAGAUUUGUGACUACUUGCUGGAAGAGAAUGAGUCCAUCUUAGCUGAAGCUGAAUCUGGUAUUGAGUGAUGAUACUUCAUAUUUGAACCUUGUUUCUGUUCGAUUUUAAGUUCAAUUAAGCAAGCUUUCAUUGGUUACUCACAAUCUAGUGUCUAUUGUUCAGCGAUCUAAAGGAUAGAUCUUCUAGAUGUGUCAGUUGCAGCCACCCCAACAUAUGUAUCAGAUAAACAAGACGCGACUGAAGGGAUUAUUGUAUCCUAACUGUAUAAUGAGAUUUAGUAGCUGAUGAUUCUGUGUACCGACCAUGUUGUUUUAAUCCAUGGUCAAGGAAGGCAACGCGCUGAUGGGUGUGGAGGAGAGAAUGAUUAGUGUAUCUUAUUUGUAGAGUGGCAGCUCAAUUAUGUGAAAUAUAUGUGCAGUUUAUGCGAAAUAUUCUAGUUGUGUAGAUCAUAGCAAUUAUCGGUUAUUUCUCUUAGUCCUCUGGGUUCUAGGUUGCCCCUUUCAGCUAUGUGAAUAGAAUGGAA
rnacentral:misc_RNA from 1 species